rnacentral:rRNA from 1 species
GACGAACGCUGGCGGCGUGCUUAACACAUGCAAGUCGAACGGUGAAGGGGAGCUUGCUCCCCGGAUCAGUGGCGAACGGGUGAGUAACACGUGGGCAACCUGCCCCAGACUUCGGGAUAACGCUUCGAAAGAGGUGCUAAUACCGGAUACGAACUCCUUGGGCAUCCUGGGAGUUGGAAAGUUUUUCGGUCUGGGAUGGGCCCGCGGCCUAUCAGCUAGUUGGUGAGGUAACGGCUCACCAAGGCGACGACGGGUAGCCGGCCUGAGAGGGCGACCGGCCACACUGGGACUGAGACACGGCCCAGACUCCUACGGGAGGCAGCAGUGGGGAAUAUUGCGCAAUGGGCGAAAGCCUGACGCAGCAACGCCACGUGAGGGAUGACGGCCUUCGGGUUGUAAACCUCUUUCAGCAGGGAAGAAGCGAAAGUGACGGUACCUGCAGAAGAAGCACCGGCUAACUACGUGCCAGCCGCCGCGGUAAUAC